rnacentral:lncRNA from 1 species
GCGGCGGCGGCAGCGCUGGGGAACGGCGUCCCGCGCCCUCUGCUUCUCCGCGGGGCAGGGGCUCGGUCCCCGCCACCGUCUCCGGGGCGCCCCACACACUGGCGCCUGCGGUGGGGCCUGCUCCCGGCGGAGGACAAAGAAUCCAGACCCUUCCUGGACGCUUGUCCCCAGACGUUCCUUCCCUCUACGCCCCGAGGGGAAUCCCAGGGAAGGUUCCCAGAAAUACUACAGUGAGGAGAUCGCGGGUUGGAAGUCCCAGCACCUGAGAACACGGUGCUGGCGCUGGGCUCAAGAUUUGGCUUUCCCAUCUGGAAAAGGGGAAUGACUGCCCCGCCACUCAGGGCUGCGGCGCUCACCCAGCGGGAAGCCGCACGGCGGUCCCCGCAGGUCCCGAUUCAAGAGCAAAUACCACGUCUGGUCUACUGAAUUGGCAAGCCUCCUGGCUCAGGCACCACUGGACUCCAAUGUUCAGAAAACGGACAGUUGCUAUGUUGAGCUCAUCUGCACUAAAGGAUUAGAAGCAAAUAGAAUCUACCCCACGAUCCAAGCUCAAAGGAUCUGGCCUGCUUGCUGGUGUCUUCCCCUGGCCUCCGCUGGGUGGUGUUUGCCUGCCCAGGUCACUGAGACCAGCAGAUCCUUCUAGGCUUUGCUGAACCUGGCUGGUAAUAACUAUCUGACCCUUCAAUUCUUCCAUACACUGAACUCGUUGCUCCAGUGAAUCCCUUUCCCAGCCCACCUUGUUUUGUCUCUGCCUUUCUGUCUCUCCCACUUUCUCACCCUUUCAUGUAAUUCAGCAACUAUUUUAAAACAAAUAGCUUUAUAUGAACAAAAGGACUAGAUCAUGAACUACACUGGUUAUUUGGAAGUCUAGGUUCUGGUCCUGCUACCCCUUUAACUUGAGUUAUUUACAAGUCUGUUUAAAAGUUUCUAGACAUACACUGGUUUGUUUUUUGUUUGGCUAUCGUUUUGUUUUUCAUUUCUAAUUGUAUUGCAUUGUGGUGAGA